GACCGUUUGGCACGAUGGUAGGGCGUUCGACUCCAGAUCGAAAUGUUAAGCGUUCGAUCCGCUCAGUGGUCG
rnacentral:tRNA from 1 species